GACCCCGCACAAGCGGCGGAGCAUGCGGCUUAAUUCGAUGAUACCCGUAGAACCUUACCUGGACUUGACAUAUAGGGUCUAGCUAUAGAGAUAUAGUGUGCAUUAGCGCCCUAUACAGGUGGUGCAUGGCUGUCGUCAGCUCGUGUCGUGAGAUGUUGGGUUAAGUCCCGCAACGAGCGCAACCCCCUGUCCUAUGUUGCCAGCAUUUAGUUGGGGACUCAUAGGAGACUGCCGUGAUAAACCGGAGGAAGGUGGGACGACGUCAAGUCAUCAUGCCCCUUACAUCCUGGGCUACACACGUACUACAAUGCUACGGACAAAGGGCAGCAAGUUCGCGAGGACAAGCAAAUCCCAUAAACGUGGCUCAG
rnacentral:rRNA from 1 species